UACGUAGGGUGCAAGCGUUGUCCGGAAUUAUUGGGCGUAAAGAGCUCGUAGGCGGUCUGUCGCGUCUGCUGUGAAAACUCAGGGCUUAACCCUGAGCUUGCAGUGGGGUACGGGCAGACUAGAGUGCGGUAGGGGAGACUGGAAUUCCUGGUGUAGCGGUGAAAUGCGCAGAUAUCAGGAGGAACACCGGUGGGCGAAGGCGGGUCUCUGGGACGGUACUGACGCUGGAGACGGCGAAAGCGUGGGGAGCGAACAGG
rnacentral:rRNA from 1 species